UNGACUGGUGAACAUGAUGUGCCACUAGGC
rnacentral:piRNA from 1 species